AGGGUUUGAUUAUGGCUCAGGACGAACGCUGGCGGUGCGCCUUAUGCAUGCAAGUUGAGCGAAGCUUUUCAGUAGUUUACUACAGAAAAUGACUGAGCGGCGAACGGGUGAGUAACGCGUGAGCAAUCUACCUUAGUUACUGGGAUAGCCCGAGGAAACUCGGAUUAAUACCGGAUAAUCUUAUUACAUCACAUGAUAUUUUAAGUAAAGGUCAGCCGAACUAAGAUGAGCUCGCGUUCUAUCAGCUAGUUGGUGGGGUAAAAGCCUACCAAGGCUACGACGGAUAGCUGGUCUGAGAGGACGAUCAGCCACACUGGGACUGAGACACGGCCCAGACUCCUACGGGAGGCUGCAGCAGGGAAUAUUGUGCAAUGAGCGAAAGCUUGACACAGCGACACCGCGUGUGGGAUGACGGUUCUAGGAUUGUAAACCACUUUCAGGAGGGAAGAAAAUGACGGUACCUCCACAAGAAGCCCCGGCCAACUACGUGCCAGCAGCCGCGGUAAUAC
rnacentral:rRNA from 1 species